rnacentral:rRNA from 1 species
UACGUAGGGGGCUAGCGUUGUCCGGAAUCAUUGGGCGUAAAGAGCGUGUAGGCGGCUCGGUAAGUCCGCUGUGAAAGUCCAGGGCUCAACCCUGGAAUGCCAGUGGAAACUGUCGAGCUAGAGUCCGGAAGAGGCGAGUGGAAUUCCUGGUGUAGCGGUGAAAUGCGCAGAUAUCAGGAGGAACACCCGUGGCUAAGGCGGCUCUCUAGUACGGUACUGACGCUGAGACGCGAAAGCGUGGGGAGCGAACAGG